rnacentral:rRNA from 1 species
UACGGAGGGGGCUAGCGUUGUUCGGAAUUACUGGGCGUAAAGCGCACGUAGGCGGCUUUGUAAGUUAGAGGUGAAAGCCCGGGGCUCAACUCCGGAAUUGCCUUUAAGACUGCAUCGCUAGAAUUGUGGAGAGGUAAGUGGAAUUCCGAGUGUAGAGGUGAAAUUCGUAGAUAUUCGGAAGAACACCAGUGGCGAAGGCGACUCGCUGGACAGGUAUUGACGCUGAGGUGCGAAAGCGUGGGGAGCAAACAGG